CCUGGAUCCGGGAGGCGGUUCCCCGCGCGCCACGCUGGUGGGAGGCCGUGUCGGGGAGAGGGCUAGGUGGGGACGGCCUCGCCCAGCUCCCAGUACAAAAUCCCCGGAUGGUACAAGCAGUUUAUGAUCAGCGGCUAACCCGAAAGGUUGGUGGUUCGAACCCAUCCGGUGGCAUCAUGGGAGAAAGGCCUGGCAAUCUGCUUCUAUAAAGCUUGCAGUGAAGAAAACCCUAUGGAGCAGUUCUGCUGUGUAACACGUGGGGUCACCAAGAGUGGGAAUUGAUUUGGUGGCAGCAGGCAGGAGAUGCCAACAUAGUCUCAAGUGUCCACCUGAUCCAAGAAGUUCAGUCCUCACCAGCAUCCCUCUCCAACCCAUUGUCCAGUCCAAUCCAUGUCUGAAGAGUUGGCUUCGGGAAUGGUUCCUGUCCUGGGCCAACAGAAGGUCUGGGAGAGGCCAGCGUUUUUAAGAAAAACAUGCUAAGAAUAACACUAACAGAAGUUACUGCAGCACGUUAGAUCCAGUUUGCCUCCUGGACUCCAACGGACGGAGCAAAUGUUGGUCUUAUGCUGUUUGAAGUAUGACACACCAUUGCUCUUAUAAACGGAGAACAAAAAUAUUAGGAGUACCAGAUAAUUCUCAGAGAGGCAAGACCACUGAUGAUGAAAUUACAACAUAGAUAAUAGGGAAAUGAGGCAUUUCCCACCCACCUUGAACACCUUUUAUUCCUGCUUAUUUUUAUGAGUGAGGAGAUGAUAUUUAUUUGUUUCAAUGCAAAUAAACUUUCCAUUGCUAUUGAACGACACCAGAUAUAAUCUCCUACAUGACAACUCUGUGUGCUGUGCUUUGAAAUAAUGGACAAGUGACAUUGGUAAGUGACAAGAAGUCAGAGCUGAAGUUAAACUUUGUCUCCUCACAGCAGUAUCACCAGCCUUGGCAAGCUUCCUACCACAACUCCUACUGUUUUCUUCAAGUUCUUCUUUAUUGAUUUCCUGGUUUUCAACAUCAUGGUCUUCAUGUCUUUGAGCAUGGGAAACCAUUGCUGUUUAUAGAUGGAUGAUAGCCAUGUUGAAGGUUCCAGAAAAUUCUCAGGGAUAAUGUAUCUUCAUCUUAAUUCCCUGACCAAUGAAAUGCUUUUCCUUGUUCAGUUUUAAGGAGGACAAUAUUCUCUAAAAUUUUUAUACACAGGGGAAACCAGGCAUUUGCUUUACCUAAAAAAAAAGGCACCUUUAAUGAUUCAUUUCAAGAGGGCACUAGAAGAAGGAACCAUACUUCUAGUGAGGAAUUUCACAUCCAUUUCCUGGCAUUACAAAUGUGUUAGAAAAUAGAAGAGUUAUUUCAUGAAAAUAUAUCGAAGUUUUUUGAAAAGUUCAGCACACAGGUGAGUCAUUAGUUUGCUUAGAAGCCAUUUAAGACACCUUUUCUUGGUGGAAUCGACUGUUCAGAUGUGUAAGAGUCACAGUUAUCAUAUUAAUCAUGACUUCAUUUCUCACUACAUUCCUAAAUUAAGCCAUUCAGCUGCCAGCAUACAAGCUGCUGCUCCAAUAGCAGUAACUCUACUGGCCUUUAUUAAGACAACACCUUGAUCCAGUGAGCCAGAUGCCACCUGAAGUCAUUCAACACUCUUGUAAAGAAGAGUAGCCAUAUUGCUGUGGAUAGCCUCUGGCAUCCUCAUCCAGCCUUCCUUAGAACAGAGAAUUGCCGUACGUGCUUACGGCUAUCAGGGCAGUAACAGGUGACUCUUGACAGUCAUCCCUACCCUGAGCCUCUCUUGUGUUGAUGGCCUUAUAAUCUAUCUACUCUUGUCGGCUUGGGCUCAGUGAGUCUGUGGGUUGGUGGUACCACGGCACACCUAGGACAUCUGGUGGAGAGAGUCCCUGUCCCUGCCCCCUAACCCCAAUGCUACAACACAGCCUCUGACUCCGUACCAACCCCUACUCAGGCACAAGCCCUAAUUCUGCUAACAGAAUGGGAGAAGUCUCCUGGCCAACCUUACCCACACUUAGUGCAUAUUUUGAAAUACGAUACAUAAGGAACAUUAUUAUUAUUUCUUAGAGGUGAGGGUUGCUGGGAAUAAGUGGCUUGUCAAAUAUUAUACACCUUGUGUGUGGUACAGCUAGGACUCCAACCUAAGUCCCUCAUCUUUAUGCCUCUGACCUUAUUCAUUUAAACCAUGACUGCCUCCCAAGCAGUAAUAAUUACUAGUAUUCAAAAUGCCACAAUUCAUGGCACUGUCUCUUUGAUAAAUGCUUCUAUCUUCCAACUUGGGACACUAGCAAUAGCCAUCUCCUCUUGCUUUGUGAAGGGAUGAGGCAGAUAAUUUAUUAAAAAGCAGUGAAUAGCAGUGGCUUGCUUGGUUGCACACAGCGUCUACAGUGAGAAGGCACUUCCGUACAUUUAUGAGUUACUCCUUUGCAUUUGCUCGAGAGGAGUAACAAAUGAUGAAUAGUAAUCAUUUUCCAGGUGUUCUGAGUUGGGGCAUGGACUCAGGGCUUGACUACCUUCUUUGCUGGUUGCCUGCGGAUGAACUGUUUGCAAGUUAGAUGAUUCUGUAUUGGGAACUGCUCACAUUAGAUACCAAAGUGACUGGUCUUACCCACCUGAAAGACUGAAUGCCAAAAUUAAAUGGGAACUUGUGGCUUUUCUUAGCAUUUCUCUUGUUCUAUACCAUAUAUGUAAUCCUGAUUCCUGACAGAAAAGGAGGACAAAUUCAAGGUAUAGUAAUUGAUUAUCUAUAAAAAUAUUAUUUAGAAAAAUUUCCUAUAGUACAAAAUGAAUUCUAAAGAGGUAAUUUUAGCAAAAGAUGAACUGAGUCACUCAAUUAUAAAUGGGAAUAAUGGGCAGGAUAACUCUGGGGACAUUUGGAGAGAACUUGUAAGUCUAAUUUUAGCAGUUAUAUUAUUAGCAAGUGUUAAAACAGAUCUGAGAUUCCCCUUGUCUCUCUUCCUCUGCCCUCCCUUUAGAGAUACAUGUCAGGAAAAUCCCAUGUACUGGAAAGAAAUCUAAAAUUUGAAGGGGGGAUGAAUGUUUCUUAUUAAAAGCAAUUUAAAAAAUAGUAGAUGAUGAAGGCUAAUAGGAUCAGGAUGUUGAGGCAGCCUCAAAGUGCAAACAACUUUUGCUUGUUCUGGGAGGCUACUUUUUCUCUCUAUAAUUUCUUUUACCAGGAUCACCAAAGAGCUAUUUGGUGAAGAAAUCUAACAAUAAUCUCUUAUUCUUCUCAGUUUCCCUAUAGCUUUUGAUAUGGUUUAUCACAGUUUCCUAAAACCACUUCCACUGUGGUCUCUAUGAUGUUUGCAUUUUUCUGAUUUUCAAAUCUGGUACUAGCUUCUUUUUCUCUCCUUUCUCGAUAUAGCUGGUUUCUAAAUCUACUUUGCUGGCAGCAUUUACUUAUCUUUCUGUAUUCAGUCAGUCACAAAAUCAGUUAGUUUUUCUUGUGAUAUGUCCCUUGAACCUCUCCUUCCUUUCCAAUUCCGUCGUUGGAAGCCUUGUUCAGGCCCUUACUGACUUGUGCCUCAGAACUUGGCCAUUCUUUCUUCAAAUUUUCUUUCCCCAAUUCUCUGUAAAAUUAUUGCUUUGGGCACUACUUUGAUGCCUUUUUCCUUCUCAGAAAUUGUAAAUGUUGAGAUCCUGAGUCUUGCCUGCAAUGCCUUCUACUUUCUGGCAUUACUUUUUAUGUUUUCAUUUUUAUAUAGGUGAUUUAUUUUAGUUUAUUUUUAAUUUAAAGUGUAAAACUUGGUGAAUUUUAGUAUACUCACAAAGUUCUGUACCAUCACCACUGUGUAAUUUUCAUCACCCCAAAUAAACGCCAUACCAAUUAGCAGUCACUCCUCAGUUCCAGGCAACCACUAGCCUACCACUAAUCUACUUUCUGUUUCUAUAGAUUUGCCUAUUCUGGACAUUUCAUAUAAAUGGAUUCAUAUAAUCUGUGGCCUUUUGUGUGUCACUUCAUUUACUUAACAUAAUGUUUCUAAGAUUCAUCGCUGAAUAAUAUUCCAUUGUGUUGAUAGACCACGUGUGUUUAUCCCUUCCUCAGUUGAUGGACAUUUGAUUUGUUUCUUCUUUUUGGUGACUAUUGAUAACGCUGCUGUGAACAUUCAUGUGUAACCAUAUGUUUUUCAAUUCUGUUGGAGUAGAAUUGGUGGGUCAUAUGAUAACUUAUGGAAACCCUGGUGGCUUAGUGGUUAAGUGCUAUAGCUGUUAACUGAAAGGUCGGCAGUUCGAAUCCAUGAGGCGCUCCUUGGAAACUCUAUGGGGUGGUUCUACUCUGCCCUAUAGGGUUGCUAUGAGUUGGAAUCGACUCAAAGGCAACGGGUUCUUUUUUUUUGGUUAUGAUAACUUACGUUGAACUUUUUGAGGAACUGUCAACUUGAUUUGUAAAGCAGCAGCACUGUGCUCCUAUUUGCUUUUACCGUAUUACCGUUCAUCACUUUCUUUGCAUGCCAUUUGUCUCUAUGUUUCCAUCUACCUGCCUGGAAUUCCCUUCCCUUUUUUGUGAUUUUAAGUCAUGUGAUUUAACUCUUGUCCCAUGAGUGGCUCAGCCUGUGGUGGAUGGAUGACUUCACACCGUUAUUUCUUUCAUUCAUUCUUUCCUUAACAAAUAUUUAUGGUGCUCUGAAAUUGUAACAAGCAGAGUUUUAGGAGAUGAGAAUACAGUGAUAAUAAGACAAGUAACCCUCUGUCAAAUAACUGUGUGUGUAUGAUGCUGUGAUGCCGUGAUGAGUGGUAACUUAGGGGAAGUAGAAACAUGAGGAAGGACCCCUAGCCCAACUCUGAGAGGGUGUGGAUGGCUUUCCAGAAGGAUGCUGAAUCUUGAUGGAGUGGAAGUUAGCCUGAUUAAAGGGAGGGGGCAUGCAGAGGAAGGGAUAACAGGCUGCUAGUCAGAGGCCUGGAGGCAAGGGACAGAAUGAAACCAAGGUGAUCUGCCUGUGGUCGCUGUUGGUGGGGAGGGCAGAAGAAUAAAUUUAAAGAGGUAAGUAGGGCCAUGCUGAGGCAUUUCAACUUUAUCUGGAGGAAAAUGGGAAGCUCCUGAAGAAUGUUAAGUGGAAAAGUGAAAAAAUCAGAUUUGUGGUAUAGGAAGAUUAUCUUAACUAUAGUGAGAAAAAUAAAUGAGAAUGGGGGAAGAUGGGAGACAGGGCUCAGUUAGAAAACACCACGGUAACUCAGGGGAGAGAAGAUGACAGCAGUGAUGAUGUGGGUGGAGUGAAGAGAUAUUAAAGAGGUAGAAUCCCCAAUUCUACCAAUACUUCAUGUCCUAAACACUAUGGAUGAAGAACAAAUGUUACUGUUAACGAUAAUGUUCUGGUUUGGAGUCAUCUUGAAUCUCUAAGAAUCUCGGUACCUUAGAGUUGGAAAGGAGAUUGAAGAUGUUCUAAUCCUAAUCUUACUUCCCACAGCGGGUAAGAGUCUCCUCUACCAUUUAAUAAUGGAAUGCUGCUAUGAAUGUCCAACUUCAUGGCUCUGUGGGUCAGACAACACCCAGUUCAUGACGGGCAGCUCAGGCUGCAUGGUGACCUGGUGGUGGCUCAUGGUAAAGCAUUCAGUCUCUACUAAGGUCCAGAAACAAGCCAAAAACUGUUUCUCAAAAGGAUAGCAGAUAUUUGCAGAAGAUGGCAGGGCUUUACUCCAAAAUCCUAAGAAUCUGCAUUGCGAUUCACCAAUACAGGCCUGCCAAAGACUCCAAAAAGCAUCUCUAUCUGCAGCUGACACUUUGAGCACCAUUUGAUCAGCUAGAUUGUAUGGCCCAAGUGGCAGAGCAGCUUACAUGGCAGCCUGAACAUAUUGCAGAGCCUUCUUUUGUUCUGGGCCCCACUUAAAACUAGCAGAUUUUUGAGUCACUUGAUAUAUAGGCUGGAGUAGCACACCCAGAUGAGGGAUAUGUUGCUUCCAAAAUUCAAAGAGGUCUACCAGGCGUUGUGCCUCCUUUCUAGUCGUGUGAGGGGCCAGAUGGUACAACUUAUCCUUCACUUUAGAAGAACUGUCUUGACGUGCUCCACAUCACUGAACUUGUAGAAAUUUCGCUGAAGUGGAAGGUGCCUGAAUUUUCAUGGAGCUAAUUUCCCACUCUCUAGCACACAAACGUUUUACCAGUAAGUCAGAGUCGUUGCCACUUCUUCCUUUCUAGGUCUAGUCAGCAUAAUGUCAUCAAUGUAAUGGACCAGUGUGAUGUCUUAUGAAAGGGAAAGGUGAUCAAGGUCCCUGUGGACUAAAUAAUAACUUAGGGCUGGAGAGUUGAUUUAACGCUGAGGCAGGACAAUAAAGGUGUAUUUCUGGCCUAGCCAGCUGAAGUCAAACAGCUUCUGGUGUUCCAUCGAAGCUGGAAUCAAGAAAAAGACAUUGGCCAGAUCAAUAUGUGCAUACCAGGUACGAGGAGAGUAUUAAUUUGCUUAAGCAAUGAAACCACAUCUGGAAUAGCAGCUGCAAUUAGAGUCACCACCUGGUUAAGUUUACGGUAACUCACUGUCAUUUUCCAAGAGCCACCUGUUUUUUGCACAGGCCAAAUAGACGAGUUGAAUGGAGAUGUAGGGGUGGGAAUCACUACCUCUGUACCCUUGAAGUUCAUGAUGAUGGCAGUAAUCUCUGCAGUUCUUCCAGGAACGUGGUAUUGCUUUUGGUUUACUAUUUUUCUAGGUAGAGGGACUGUUCUGAUGUCUUCUACUUGGCUUUUCCUGCCAUAAUAGCCCUUAUUCCACUUGUCAGAGAUCCAAUAUGGGGGUUCUACCAGUUGCUGAGUAUAUCUAUUCCAAUUAUGCAUCCUGGAACUGGGGAAAUCACUAUGGGAUGGGUUCAGGGACCCACUGGAUUUGCUGUGAGACAAACCUGAGCUAAGACUUCAUUAAUAACCUGACUUCCAUAUGCCCCCACUAUGACUGGUGGGCCACAGUAGCAUUUUGGGUCUCCUGGAAUCAGUUUCAGUUCAAAGCUAGUAUCUAGCAGUCUCCCCAAAUUCUGAUUAUUUCCUUUUCCUCAGUGAAAAGCUACUGUAGUAAAAGUCCAUAGAUCCCUGCCAAAUUACAUAAUUGCAUAACUGCCAGACUACAUUAUUACAUAACUGCCAAACCACUGAGAAUCAUGGGCCAGCCAUGUUGACUCACAAUCACAACCAUCAGAGGCUCCGUACUUCCACUGACCAUAUUUUCUUAGGGCACAUAACCUAACACUAUAGAAGAAGCCGUGAUGCUGUACUUAACAUUUCAGUCCUUGGGAGGUUGGUCCCCUUUGGAGCAUAUAAGCUGUCACUCUAAGGCAAAGGAGAGUCACUUGGGCAGUGCAAAGCUGAAGUGACACCUAAACCACCUAACUUCAUGCUGAGAUCCUGGGAAUUUCAAUUAAUUCUCUUAAAUAGCUCUUUCCUCAUUGAACUCUCACUCCUUCUCUACGCAUACUCUAGAUUCCAGUCAUUCUUGGCAGUGGCAGCAUCUGUUUAUCAUCUGGACAACCAUGAACUUCAGUAUAGUGACUUGUCAGUCGGACUGGCAGGAGCUGUGGGUUGAUUGUGCCAUCAGGUGGCUGCUAUUCUCCGUGAUCGUCUUUGUCAUCCUGGUUCUAUGGCUACCAUCUGCAAACAGCCAGAGGUUUGCCUUUUCACCAUAAUCUGAGGAAGAGGAGGAGGAGGAGCAAAAGGAACCUACAUUGAAAGAAAGCUUUGAGGGAAUGAAAUUGAGAAGUCCCAAACAAGAACCAAAUGGAGAUUGUAAAGUGAAUAAAGCAGAAGUGUGUGUAGAAGAGGCUGUUCCUUCUUCAGUGACAAAGGUAGCACUUCCGUCCCUUCUGGAUUCAGACGAGGAACAAAUGAUUACGUACUUUGAAAGGUCCAAAAUGGGGUAAAGAAUAUGAAGAAUUGCAAUUGCAGAUGGCUAGUAUUGGGAAGAGAUCAGCUUCUGUGUCAGUUUUCUACCACUGCUCCAUGCGGUUAAAGAAGGCAACGGCUUUCGGAGCUGUUCCUUGCUCUUGGUGCAUUGGAGCUGGCGAGAGGUGUCAGAACUGGGAGAAUCUUAUUGAAAACAACUCCAUAGCAUGAGAAAAAUCUACAAGUUUCUAAUUUCUGACCUUGAUGUCCUUCCCCUCCCACACCGUGACAUGGAUGUUUAUGCAACUUAAAUGUGUUUUUUGGAGCCUUCUAUAAUGUUUCAGUUGUUCAACCUGUCAAACCAAAAAGUUUAGUAUCUUCUAAAGGAUUAUGAUAUUGAGGUCAUAUGUAAUCUCUAGAAACAACUGCCUGCGAUUUUUAUUUAGGGAAUUACGUAGGUGAUGGGGGAAAUUGUUAAUUAUCUGUCAGUUUCUUGGGAAGCCAAGUUUACGUCUUGCAGAGAUAGUUUUGAGAGAAAAGAACUCUCCUGAGUUAAGGAGCCAUGGCUCUCUCAAUGAUUAAAAGAACAACAACAACAAAAAGAGAAACUUACAGUGUGAUUCAGAUCAUUUAAAAAAGCAAGAUCAAGUGCAGUUUUGUUUACAAAUGGUGUAUAUUAAAGCUUUCCUGUUUUACAUGUAACUUAGAAAUACCAGCUUAACUCUUUUGACAUCUACUAUUGUGAUACAUCCCGUUGCUGGCAGUGUGGUGAAAGCUCAGGAACUUCUAGCUGCUGUUAUGUAAGCCGCCCAGGGCAGCGUUGUUGCUUUGUUUGCCUUCCUGCCCUCUGUCCCGGGUGUCGCCCUCCGUCCCGGGUGUCACACUCCCUGCACGGAGGUGCCUGUGAAUGAGCCCCCAGCUAGAGGAACUGUAAUGCUUCAGAAACUGAGCUUGCUACAGAGGAAGCAGGUCCUUCUGGCUUAAUUUCAACAGUUACUCCUGCGUGACGUGAUGUGGAGACCCUGGAUUCUGCUCAUUCUUUAGGACUGACUCUUUAUAUCUGGUGUUGGUUUAGAGACUGUUUGUAAGAGGCUCUCAAGGUGAUGGGAUUCAUUGGAAGCACUACAUUUCUGUUUUAAGGCUUUUAUACAGUUUGCCUCCCUAAGAUUUUUGUUCUAUACCAAAAGUUCAUGCCACUUUUUAAUAUAAAUUUUAACAAAACUAAAAAAAAAAAAAAGAACCACAGGACGGAAAUAGAGAUUUUGCAAUGACCUUUUGCAAUUCUGUGUCCUGUGAGAAGCGAUCAAAGCAAAGAAACUUGGUCUUCAGCGCUUCAGGCAGAUAUCUUAAAAUAGAUCACUAACAUUCCUCUGUCCUUGGAGGAAUGUGGACAAGUCAGAGGAUGAGAACACAAUGGAAUGUUUUGUAUGGCAGAGGAAACAUGGUGGUUUACUUUAAAAAAUUAUUUGCUUAUGUGUAGGGACAGGAUGCCAUUGUUGGGAGGAACUCCAGGAAUCAUCUAGAUUCUAGUUGCCAGAUUUCUCACAGAGAUGAUGAAACGAGGACUGCAGAUGUUAGGUGGUUGGCCUGAGUCCUUUCAAAUCUGGUUCCCGUUCUAGUCCCAACUAGAAUCCAGUUGUUUUCCUGCUCUACGAAGCAAGUUCAUCAAGUUUUACUGCACUAGAUGGAGUAUCAUGUUUUUUUGCUUGUUUCCUUUUUACCCUUUUGAUUUCUCUGCAUUAAAAAAAAAUCAGACAGUUCUUUUUUUGCUCUUGUCUAUGUUUUACAGCUGCUGGACGUGUUUCUCUUUUGGUCCCAAACCCCUUAUUCUUGUCAGGGGGCAACUUUUGAGAAUCUCUACUUUCAGACCGACAACUGAGCAGCCACAGAGGAAUGACCGACCCAUCACACCAUCAGACAGGUGGAGAGGAAGCCAGUAUAAAAGGUGCACCUGCAUGAUAAAAUAGCAGCACUAGAUGACUAAGACAGGGUGAAAAGUACAUAAGGACAGAGAUGACUUUGUCCGGUUGUUCUGCAAACACAGAUGCUGCGUUCUGAAGCUUUCUGAAAGGAGAAAGGUAAAGAAGCGUUAGAGCAAAUGCUGUUUUAUCAACUCUGGCUUCAUCGUGAAACUUUAGAAAAAUGUAAAUACACAGGUCCCAUCCCUGACCAGUCGAAUCAGAAUCUUUGAGGGUGGUGCCCCGACAUUCCAGAUGAUUCUAGGACACGACAAGGAAUUCCAUCACCUUUCUAAUUUCAUGUUUUGGAUCCUGUGGGGGAGAGUAGAAUAAAAGAAAACUCUCUAGUAAGGAACAAAUCCAGCAACAGUCAACUCUCAAAAAACUAAGCAUGAUAAUAAUGAUUAAAACAUUUUUAGCCACUGUUUUAAAAGCCUGUUAGUUUAUGAUAAAAAGUAAUGUAGGAACAUUAUGUUUAAUAUUAUAUAUACAUUUGUAAGAGUCAACUCUAUAAACAUGGCAAUUUAAAGUGCAAUUAUAUAAAGAAAAUGUUUCAUCCUAUGUUACUAAGGGGAUUUAGUUUGUGAACCUUAUUAUUUUACUUAAUCCUCACUUUAGAAGGUAUUUGGGAAAAGGGGUGGUUCUUUUUCAAAAUAAACAAGACGCAUUUUCCUCUUCUGAUUGGAGAAACAGAAAAUGGAGUCCAUAUUGCUCUCACAUGGUACAGUAGCACCGUGGUGCUUCCCUAUUUGUCUUUCUGUCUUGAUGCUCUUGAAGUGGACCAUCAGACAAGAAGGACAAUGUCUUCCUGAUUCUCUAGAGCUGGGCUUAUUCCGGACUCUGGCCUGUCAGGGAUACCUGUUUGCCGUACCUCAUGAGAGCUCUUUUGCCUUCUGCGACUGAUUCCUGCCUCAUCCAGAAGAGAAAAGAUUUCCUGUUUGGGGUAGGAGUUUCCUCCAUUUGGAGGCCUCCAGGUUACCCCUUCUAGGCUUUGUCUCUCUUCCUCUGACUUGCUCUGACUUCCCAGUCUGUAUGUCCUUCCCACUUUCUAGCUUCUUCUACCCAGCCUUUGCAGUUCCCUGGCUCCCGCAGGCACAGGGCAGUGGAAAUGACUCCCAGGGUUGUGGGAAGUGGUUGGAACUCUGACAUCUAGGAAAGCCGCCGAGUGCAAGGAUGGAUGUAAAGCAGGGGUUUUCACCCAAAGCCAAAUAUAUGGAAGAAAAGAAGUAAUGCAUCAUCUCUUUGAAGACCCAGAGGAGAAAGGAGAAAGAGGAAGGUGACAUGGUAGUACUCAGUUAACGACAGGAAGAGAUUAGUGAUCCAAGUCAUAAACCUAGGCUUGGAGAACCAGGGGCCAGCACCAUAGUUAGACUUAUUUUAAAUAUAACCUUGUGUGACAGACUUUGAGCAUGCGCAAAAGAUGUUACUAAUGGGGAACUUUUACUGAAAAUGACUAAAUGGUUAUAUUUGAAGAAAGCAUACAAAUAAAAAUAACUGUAUUUUUCCUUACUAGCUCUUCUCUGUUAAGUUUCCUAAUUCUUUUCGUCAGCAGUCAGAGCAAGUCAGGGGAGGAAAUAGUAAUCCUGGAAGCAGGAACCUGGAGACCUAGAAAGGGAGAAAACUUCUAGCUCAAACAGGAAACCUCUUCUGUGUUUUCCCACAAGAAGGGAAUUGAUCUCAGAGUGUAGAAGGACCUGCAGGAAGAAGCAGGCUGCCUCUCGGAGAGGAUGGUAACCAGGUUGCUUUGCUUGUUUGGAGUUUCGUAUGCUACGCAGCAAGAUAGUAGGAGAAGUUGAAGUUGGCAUGCAAAAUGCUUUGCUUAGGUAAACUUUUAUAUCUUACUUUCCUUCAUUUCUAUCAUAGAGCUGAAAUUCUGAGAAAAAUUACUGUAAACCCAGAAUUUGAAUGUAUUUCUUACUUUUAUCGUUUCUUCAUAGAAAAGAUAGAGGAUCGGGUGACUGUCUUUCUUCCUCCACCAGCCUUUCACAUGAUCAUACCAGGACCCCCAUAACACUGAAAUUAGACACAUAGGAUUUGGGUAAUGAAAAACUGAGAGUAGGAAAAUCCAGAAUAUGAAAUGAAUUGUUUCCUUGGGAUACAAAUGGAAGAUGUCAUGGAUUGAAUUAUAUCCCCCCAAAAAUGUGUGUAUCAGUUUGGCUGGGCCAUGAUUUCCAGUAUUGUGUAGUUGUCCUCCAUUUUGUGAUUGUAGUUUUACAUUAAAGAGGAUUAGGGUGGAAUUGUAACACCCUUACCCAGGUCACAUUCCUGAUCCAAUGUAAAGGUGUUUCCCUGGGGUGUGGCCCACACCACCUUUUAUCUUUCAAGAGAUAAAAAGGAAAGGAAAGCAAGCAGAGAGUGUAGGACCUUGUACCACCCAGAAGAAGGCACUGGGAGUAGAGCGUGUCCUUUGGUCCCAGGGUCCCUGUGCAGAGAAGCUCCUGGUCCAGAGGAAGAUUGAUGAGAAUGCCAACAGAGAGGGGAAGCCUUCCCCUGGAGCUGAUACCCUGAAUUUGGACUUUUAGUCUACUUUAUUGUGGAGAAAUAAAUUUCUGUAUGUUAAAGCCAUCUACUUGUGGUAUUUCUGUUAUAGCAGCACUAGAUGACUGAGACAGAAGGUGUGGUAGGUAGUACUAUAAAGCUGGAGAACUAGCUUUCAUGAUUUCUGUCUACCUUUUCAAUACUACUUUUCUUUCUUUUGGAAGCUGGCAAGAUCACUAUCUCAGGCUCUGGAGUCAGACUGCCUGAGUUUAAAUCUGGCUCUGAUACUUACUAGCUGUGUGACCUUGGGCAAUUUAUUUAACCUCCCUGAGCCUCAAGUUUUUUAUACCUAUCUUUGAAAAAGGGUUAAUAAUAGUAUCUAUCUCAUAAGGUAAUAUUAAUAUGUGUUAACUUAUUCCAUAACCCACCUACUGCUGUUGAGUUGAUUCUGACUCAUAGCGACCCCAUAGGGUUUCCCAGGCUGUAAAUCUCCAUGGAAGCAGACUGCCACAUCUUUCUGCCACAGAGCAGCUGGUGCUUUCAAACUGCCAGCCUUUUGGUUAGCAGUCGAUCACUUUAACCACUGUGCCACCAGGGCUCCUUAACUUAUUCCACAGGGCCUACUAUAUGCUAAAAUGUCCUUGGUUUACAGAAAUAGCUUAUGCUCUGCUACUGACUUAAAGGUUAGUGGUUCAAACCUACCCAGUGGUGCUGCAGAAGAAAGACCUGGCAAUCUGCUUCCAUAAAGAUGACAACCAAGAAAACCCU